rnacentral:lncRNA from 1 species
UUGGUGAAAAAGAGACGGUAUAUAGUUGCGUCUCUUUCACAUUAUAUUCGCGCUCCAACAUGACUCACGCCAAGCUUGCCAGUGGAUCGCUAGGAAGCGUUUUAAACGGUACAGGAAUUAGUUUGUGUUUUGUGACUGCAAAAGUAGAAAAAAUACAAAUCCAAAGAAACGCCCGUUAUGUAGGAAAAUAGGUAAUCAUACCGAAGAAGAUAUGA